AUACGUAGGGGGCUAGCGUUAUCCGGAAUUACUGGGCGUAAAGGGUGCGUAGGUGGUUUCUUAAGUCAGAAGUGAAAGGCUACGGCUCAACCGUAGUAAGCUUUUGAAACUAAGAGACUUGAGUGCAGGAGAGGAGAGUAGAAUUCCUAGUGUAGCGGUGAAAUGCGUAGAUAUUAGGAGGAAUACCAGUUGCGAAGGCGGCUCGCUGGACUGUAACUGACACGGAGGCACGAAAGCGUGGGGAGCAAACAGGAUUAGAUACCCUGGUAGUCCACGCCGUAAACGAUGAGUACUAGCUGUCGGGGGUUACCCCCCUCGGUGGCGCAGCUAACGCAUUAAGUACUCCGCCUGGGAAGUACGCUCGCAAGAGUGAAACUCAAAUGAAUUGACGGGG
rnacentral:rRNA from 1 species